GUUGCUGCUGUGGAUAGCAAGAGACAUUGACACUCCCUGAUAGACGGUGUUGACGUUGCAUCAAGGUUGCGUUGAGUAGCACCGAGGCUGUGUGGAGUUCCAGUAAGGAAUUGCGUGGAGUUGAACAGAGACGUCUGCGCUAGGCACAACUGCUGGGGUCCUGUAACACAGAACGUUAGGAGCCCCUCCCCCCUCCCCGAUACAAACAAAUCCUGUAGUAGUAGCAGCAGCGAGGCAAAUUCAAACGCACGGCCAAAGGAGUUGCGGUGUUACCAGGAGGUCCGCUAACUGCCCGUAUCCACCGCCGAUUCGACCGUUUGCACUUCCUUCCUCUGCACUUGAACCGAGACAUCAAAGACGCAGACCUGGCUCCCUGUCCCGUCACUGCCUGGGAUCUCUGCCCCGUUGGGGCUUCCUU